CUAGAAAGCAGAACUGUCAGUAAUAUCGAGAGCAUGUCAGAAUUUGAUGAUUCACAAUCGAAUGUUUUUCACGAUGACAGCAACAGCUGUAACAGUAGCAGCAACAGUCGUAAUACAUCAAGAUAUGAAUAUUUUUUACAGGGAGCAGUAAACGUCGCAUGUCU